UACAGGGGGUGCAAACGUUGCUCGGAAUCAUUGGGCGUAAAGCGCACGUAGGCGGUUCGUUAUGUCGGAUGUGAAAUCCCCGGGCUUAACCUGGGAAUGGCAUUUGGGACUGCAAGGCUUGAGUGCGGCAGAGGAGACUGGAAUUCCUGGUGUAGCAGUGAAAUGCGUAGAUAUCAGGAGGAACACCGAUGGCGAAGGCAGGUCUCUGGGCUGACACUGACGCUCAUGCACGAAAGCGUGGGGAGCAAACAGG
rnacentral:rRNA from 1 species